rnacentral:rRNA from 1 species
GACGGAGGAUGCAAGCGUUAUCCGGAAUGAUUGGGCGUAAAGCGUCCGCAGGUGGCAGUUCAAGUCUGCUGUCAAAGACCGGGGCUUAACUUCGGAAAGGCAGUGGAAACUGAACAGCUAGAGUAUGGUAGGGGCAGAGGGAAUUCCUGGUGUAGCGGUGAAAUGCGCAGAUAUCAGGAGGAACACCGAUGGCGAAGGCAGGUCUCUGGGCCAUUACUGACACUGAGAAGCGAAAGCAUGGGGAGCGAACAGG